GCUGGCGUAGCUCAGUUGGCUAGAGCAGCUCACUUGUAAUGAGCAGGUCGGGGGUUCAAGACCCUUCGCCAGCUCCA
rnacentral:tRNA from 1 species